rnacentral:rRNA from 1 species
AUGCUUGUCUCAAAGAUUAAGCCAUGCAUGUCUAAGUAUAAGCACUUAUACCGUGAAACUGCGAAUGGCUCAUUAAAUCAGUUAUCGUUUAUUUGAUAUUACCUUACUACAUGGAUAACCGUGGUAAUUCUAGAGCUAAUACAUGCCAAAAACCCCGACUCACGAAGGGGUGUAUUUAUUAGAUAAAAAGCCAACGCCCUUUGGGGCUCCUUGGUGAUUCAUGAUAACUUAACGUAGCGCAUGGCCUUGAGCUGGCGCAGCAUCAUUCAAAUACCUGCCCUAUCAAGUUUCGAUGUGAGGGUAGUGUCCUCACAUGCUUUUGACGGGUAACGGGGAAUUAGGGUUCGACUCCGGAGAGGGAGCCUGAGAAACGGCUACCACAUCCAAGGAAGGCAGCAGGCGCGCAAAUUACCCAAUCCCGACACGGGGAGGUAGUGACAAGAAAUACCGAUACAGGGCCCAUCUGGGUCUUGUAAUUGGAUUGAGAACAAUUUAAACCCAUUAACGAUAUCAACUGGAGGGCAAGUCU